UUCCAGACUCCUACGGGAGGCAGCAGUGAGGAAUAUUGGUCAAUGGGCGAGAGCCUGAACCAGCCAAGUCGCGUGAGGGACUACUGCCCUAUGGGUUGUAAACCUCUUUUGUCGGGGAGCAAAAGCCGGACGUGUCCGGCUGUGAGAGUACCCGAAGAAAAAGCAUCGGCUAACUCCGUGCCAGCAGCCGCGGUAAUACGGAGGAUGCGAGCGUUAUCCGGAUUUAUUGGGUUUAAAGGGUGCGUAGGUGGUUAAUUAAGUCAGCGGUGAAAGUUUGUGGCUCAACCAUAAAAUUGCCGUUGAAACUGGUUGACUUGAGUAUAGUUGAGGUAGGCGGAAUGCGUGGUGUAGCGGUGAAAUGCAUAGAUAUCACGCAGAACUCCGAUUGCGAAGGCAGCUUACUAAACUAUAACUGACACUGAAGCACGAAAGCGUGGGGAUCAAACAGGAUUAGAUACCCCCGUA
rnacentral:rRNA from 1 species